rnacentral:rRNA from 1 species
ACCCGCUGAACUUAAGCAUAUCAAUAAGCGGAGGAAAAGAAACCAACAGGGAUUGCCCUAGUAACGGCGAGUGAAGUGGCAACAGCUCAAAUUUGAAAUCUGGCUCUUUUAGAGUCCGAGUUGUAAUUUGCAGAGGGCGCUUUGGCUUUGGCAGCGGUCCAAGUUCCUUGGAACAGGACGUCACAGAGGGUGAGAAUCCCGUACGUGGUCGCUGGCUAUUGCCGUGUAAAGCCCCUUCGACGAGUCGAGUUGUUUGGGAAUGCAGCUCUAAAUGGGAGGUACAUUUCUUCUAAAGCUAAAUAUUGGCCAGAGACCGAUAGCGCACAAGUAGAGUGAUCGAAAGAUGAAAAGCACUUUGGAAAGAGAGUCAAACAGCACGUGAAAUUGUUGAAAGGGAAGCGCUUGCAGCCAGACUUGCUUACAGUUGCUCAUCCGGGCUUUUGCCCGGUGCACUCUUCUGUAGGCAGGCCAGCAUCAGUUUGGGCGGUAGGAUAAAGGUCUCUGUCACGUACCUCUCUUCGGGGAGGCCUUAUAGGGGAGACGACAUACUACCAGCCUGGACUGAGGUCCGCGCAUCUGCUAGGAUGCUGGCGUAAUGGCUGU